rnacentral:tRNA from 1 species
GCCCUCGAAACUCACCUGGUGGAGUGCCGCACUCGUAACGCGGAAGAGCCGGUUCGAUUCCGGCCGGGGGCU